rnacentral:rRNA from 1 species
AGUGAACGCUGGCGGUAGGCCUAACACAUGCAAGUCGAACGGCAGCACAGUAAGAGCUUGCUCUUACUGGUGGCGAGUGGCGGACGGGUGAGGAAUACAUCGGAAUCUACUUUUUCGGGGGGGAUAACGUAGGGAAACUUACGCUAAUACCGCAUACGACCUACGGGUGAAAGCAGGGGAGCUUCGGACCUUUCGCGAUUGAAUGAGCCGGUGUCGGAUUAGCUAGUUGGCGGGGUAAAGGCCCACCAAGGCGACGAUACGUAGCUGGUCUGAGAGGAUGAUCAGCCACACUGGAACUGAGACACGGUCCAGACUCCUACGGGAGGCAGCAGUGGGGAAUAUUGGGCAAUGGGCGCAAGCCUGAUCCAGCCAUACCGCGUGGGUGAAGAAGGCCUUCGGGUUGUAAAGCCCUUUUGUUGGGAAAGAAAAGCAGCAGGUUAAUACCCCGCUGUUCUGACGGUACCCAAAGAAUAAGCACCGGCUAACUUCGUG